rnacentral:rRNA from 1 species
CGCGUAGGCGGUGCGGUAAGUCACCUGUGAAACCUCCGGGCUCAACUCGGAGCCUGCAGGCGAAACUGCCGUGCUGGAGUGUGGGAGGGGUGCAUGGAAUUCCCGGUGUAGCAGUGAAAUGCGUAGAGAUCGGGAGGAACACCUGUGGCGAAAGCGGCGCACUGGACCACAACUGACGCUGAGGCGCGAAAGCUAGGGGAGCAAACAGGAUUAGAUACCCUGGUAGUCCUAGCCCUAAACGAUGGAUGCUUGGUGUAGCCGGUACCCAAUCCGGCUGUGCCGUAGCUAACGCGAUAAGCAUCCCGCCUGGGGAGUACGGUCGCAAGGCUGAA